rnacentral:sRNA from 1 species
GACUCGGGAGUCGCUGCUUCCAAAGUGCCCGCCGUGAGUGAGCUCUCACCCCAGUCAGCCAAAUGAGCCUCUUCGGGCUUCUCCUGCUGACAUCUGCCCUGGCCGGCCAGAGACAGGGGACUCAGGCGGAAUCCAACCUGAGCAGUAAAUUCCAGUUCUCCAGCAACAAGGAACAGAACGAUAAGAAUGCCUAUUGUGGAAUGAUUAAGUUCUGGGAUGGUGCUUCUGAGUUGUAGCAGAAAGAAUCAUACGUUUAGGAACAAAACAAAACCUACUUUGUCUGUUGCAUACAGCACAAAGAGAUGUCAAUGACAGAGUUGUUGGUGGAGGAAUGCCUCUUCCAUCUGUGUUGUUGGUGAGUGAUUUUUAGUUUACUCAUAGAUCAAGAGCAUGCGUAUCAUUUUUUCUCAUUUUCUUUAGCCAUUCUGAAUUUCGAUUUGGAAUAUGCCGCUAUUCGCUACGGUUGGUCUUAUCAACAUCAGUUAUUGUAUGUGUUCUUUUUCUCAAGGGCUUUUGUGGCAUGUGGGGCAAUUUACUUUGGUCUGCUGGUCGUGCCCUUUUGCCUGUAUCUUGUGUUUAUGGAUUUUCCAUCUCUU